AGAGUUUGAUCAUGGCUCAGGACGAACGCUGGCGGCGUGCUUAACACAUGCAAGUCGAGCGGAAAGGCCCUUCGGGGUACUCGAGCGGCGAACGGGUGAGUAACACGUGGGCAACCUGCCCUCAGCUCUGGGAUAACUCCGGGAAACCGGGGCUAAUACCGGAUACGACCACUCCUGGCAUCUGGGGUGGUGGAAAGUUUUUCGGCUGAGGAUGGGCCCGCGGCCUAUCAGCUUGUUGGUGGGGUCACGGCCCACCAAGGCGACGACGGGUAGCCGGCCUGAGAGGGCGACCGGCCACACUGGGACUGAGACACGGCCCAGACUCCUACGGGAGGCAGCAGUGGGGAAUAUUGCGCAAUGGGCGAAAGCCUGACGCAGCGACGCCGCGUGAGGGAUGAAGGCCUUCGGGUUGUAAACCUCUUUCAGCAGGGACGAAGCGAGAGUGACGGUACCUGCAGAAGAAGCACCGGCCAACUACGUGCCAGCAGCCGCGGUAAUACGUAGGGUGCAAGCGUUGUCCGGAAUUAUUGGGCGUAAAGAGCUCGUAGGCGGUCUGUCGCGUCGGCUGUGAAAACUCGGGGCUCAACCCCGAGCCUGCAGUCGAUACGGGCAGACUAGAGUGCUGUAGGGGAGACUGGAAUUCCUGGUGUAGCGGUGAAAUGCGCAGAUAUCAAGAGGAACACCGGUGGCGAAGGCGGGUCUCUGGGCAGUAACUGACGC
rnacentral:rRNA from 1 species